AAAGCAAAGCCUGGGGGAAGACGAGACAGCUAUGGACUGACUGACCUCCAGACUCUCCUGCAGCAGCUGUGUUUCCUGCACUGCUGUGAUAACCGUCCUCCAAUAAAUAAAAGGCUUCCAUGAAGAAGAAGGGAAAAAACUCUUCUCUGUGUCUGCCUGGAGAGGAUGAGAAAUCAUGGGAUGAAGCUGCGCCUCGCAGCUCCAGGCAGUCAUUUAACUGCAGUCAGCCUUCAACCAGAUCCUCCUCUCCAAGAGCAGAUUUUUGGAUGAGAUGUUCACUCCCAUCAAGGUGACAAUCCAGCUGCCUUGCUGCAGGGGAAGCAGUGCUAUGCCGUCCUGCCUCGGGCCCGUGCUGGAGUGGGGGAAGGAUGGAGAACUGCCCUGGGAACAUCAUGGAGCUGGCUGAGCUUUGUCAAAGACCUCCAGACUCCAAAAAGCUUUUUUUUUUUUUUCGAAAGAGUUUUAAUGAAAACGAUUUGGACGUCUUACAAUGGGGUAUCAGGGUAACUAACCCCAACAACACUGUGCUGUGAAGUCAGAGUACAGAAGCUUGGGGUUUCAAUGGUCAGCCUGGGUUUCCAUCACUUCUGUGCUUGUAAGGGCUGGUUCAGGCUCACCACUGCAUCUCUGGGCAAGAAGGGAUGACAUUUUUGUCCAGGCUGCUUCAAAAUCAGCCACAGUCAUAACUGGUGAACAUCUCAAGCUGUUCCCCUUCUGUUCAGAUGAGUCUGGUGGUUUUGGCUGGAUUCCCACCUCUUGUUACCUUGGGUAAUCACAAGCAUAUAUGUAGCUAUGAAGUGGCUCAUAGCGAAGUUUUUGCUAUGGGGCAAGUUCCUUCCGCUCCAAGAAGGAGAAAACAAAAAUGUUGGAUGCUGCUGAGGGACGAGGCAGUCCCGUAACCUAUCAUAUUGCCUCCGGGUCCUCUGGCUCCUCUACACUCUCCUCCCAGAAAUAAAAACAUCCUCAAGAGGAUUCUCAGGAACAGGUUUGGGAAAGAUUUCCCCUUAUUAGAAGGAAAGGUGUUGUGGACUCUACUUUAUCUGGUUUCUUUUACAGGAUGUCUUGCUCUGUCGCACUCUGUCCUGAAAGGGUAUGUUAAUAAUGUUCUUCCAGUAUAAAUCGCUACGUAUUUGUGCAACAGUCAGGUUAGAGACUUGGGAAGUCUCAUUUCUGUCUUCAUAAUGUUUCCUGGAAAACUCUAUAAAAGAAAACACAGUAUCCACUUUAUAUAAUUACAAAAAGCCUGGGAACUCAAUAUUUAGUUUUGUUUACAGUUUAACAUCCUCAUCAUUGGCUAGAGACCAUAACAUUGUUGUGUAUAUGAUAGACUGGAAA